CGGAGGGGAGGGAAGAUGGCGGCCGCGUGCUCUUUGCUCCGCGGAAUAAAACUCCGCCGCUUUUCCUCGGGAGUAAAACUCUGCCGUUUGCCCCCCACGCCCGCCCUGUGAAAUACAAAGCUGUGUUUCCUGUCAGCUUGAGAAAGGAAGAUGAACAUCAACUCUAUAAAGGAUUGAUGGUUUCCACCAAGGGAAGCUGGACAUCACUCUUAUGAGAUUUGCAAUUAAAAGGUGGACCCAUCUGGAAUCUGGACCUCACCAGCCAGGAGACUUCUUUCUUCCUUCAGAAGCUGGACCCCCUCACCAUCUGGGGAUUCUCCUGUCUGAGAUACAUCCUGAGAAAAAUUAAAUCACAAUAGUGUAUAGCAUUGUGACGUAAAAAUUGGGAAGAGAAACUGCUGGAAAAGCUUAUGAAAACCCCUAUAAAUAUCUGUAAGCCCCAACUAUCGGCGUGCAGUUGGAGGGAAAAUUUCCCCCGCUGUACCCAGCGCUGAGUCGCUCACCCUUUACCAAAUUAAUUAAUAAAUUGAUUGCUGCUUGGCCUA